CAACCCCAACUCUCUCAGCCUGUCCUUGUAUGGGAGGUGCUCCAGCACUCGGAUCAUCCCUGUAGUCUCUUCUGGACCUGUUCCAACAGUUCCAUAUCCUUCUUAUGUCGAGGAUUCCAGAACUGGACACAGUACUCCAGACAACUUGCAGAUUGCUAUCUCCAACCAAGACAUGGGUAUUACAGCAGCUGUGGACCCUGCAUCCUGCCAGUCCUUGACCAAAGGCAGCUGUCCUCUGCAAACAUCUUUGUGUUUUGACUUCGCACUCUUGGAUCUGGUUGCACUUGAGAGGUUCUCUGCAUGCCAGCAUCCCAGAGGCAGGAAUGGACUCUCUGACCUUAAAACAGCUGCAAGAGUUUCAGGUCAAGUAUUCCAUGAACAUAUUCAGUAACAACCAUUUAUUAAGCCACUGCUGCUUAAGGCAUUUAGCUGAUGCCUAGGGGAGUCAGAAAAGGCUCAGCCUUUCGCAUAGGAGGGGUCUGAAACCAUGUAGCUGUGCCUAAGCUCUACGAUUUUUCACCUUUGCUUCACAUUGAAGACAAGGAUACAGAUUUCCACAUGCCUAUCCGGUGACAAUAGAUGCAUUCUCCUCUUGCAGCUUCUUCUCCAGGAUCUCAAAAGUCAGUACAAAUUUACAAAAUAUUUCCUGUUUUGCAGAGUGCCAGAGACACAAAGAACCUCGGCCACCUGGUAAAUGGUGAUCCAGGGCCCUGAGACUUUGGUACUUCACAAGAAGGCUCACGAAAGACAGUAAUACAUACAAGAGAUACACAAGUUAUUCAGCAGGACAUAUAACAGACAUGCAUAUCAAAUCCUACCCCCUCUUUGACUUACACGUCUUCUUUCCAUUUGAAGUUCUCAGUAUUCAUGCAAGCCUUUACUUUCAAAAGCAAAGAAAGGACUCCCUCAUUUCUUUCAAAACACAGAAACCGAGAUGAUGACAUUUUUCAGAAAGGUAGGAGUGAAUCUAAAGUGCACUCCCCGUUAAAAAAACGUAACAAUCGAGUACUAUUCUUUACAUUUGAGAGAUUGAUCCAGCAAGACAAAGGUCUGUCUGAGGAGAACUGAGAAUCUGCUGGCCAAGUACACCAACGCUCAUAGUUCAGCUCUGAAUAAAGCCUUGGAAGAACACAGAUUUCCUGGAGAGCUGGAUACACAACUAAUUAUCCCAUUAGUACUAACUUUUGGGAUCCUGAAGACACGCGAGAAGGAGAACUGACCUACAGUCACCACAUGUAGAAAUUUAUCUUCAGUCCUUUAAUGUGAAGCAAAGGUGAAAACAAGCUGCAGAGCUCAAGGCACAGUGAGGCAUGGAAUUUAAUGAAGACUGGGUUUUUUCUGCCCAUCUUGCAUUGUUCCAUUGCGACAAUCCUGUCUCCUUCCAUGUUCCCUGCAGCUCACUGCAAUAUCUUCAGUUCCUCUCAUCACUGCCAAUGGAUCAAGCAGCAGCACGCUCAGAGAUGGCAGCCCAAACAGAGUGGGUACCAAUCCCAGCGAAGGCACCCAUGUGGGUCACUCUCCUCUACUGCCCCACCAGCUUUCAUAAACCUGGUAGAAACUUGGUACUCCUAACACUUUAGCAGAAAGGAAAGUCUCUACUCCAGACAAACAAAAGUAUAUGUCUUUGUAAGAGGGAUUCAUACCAUUCAACAAGCACCUCCGAGGGAAUGAAGAAAAAAACUAACACAAGCUGAGAAGUUAGAACAGAAGUAGCUCGAUACUUUCUGUAGUCUCUCCUGUCAGUAGCUACAAGGCUUGUGCUGGAGUCCAGAAAGACAGAGUCCUGUCACUAAUUCAGGACAUUUGAGGGGAAAGAAAAAUAAAUCCUCUUUUUCCACCUUAGUAAAUUCCCCCCUGAAUAAAAUUCUAAGUAUUCAUUUACAAGGAAUCUGCUCUCAUAAACAGCUACUGCGAGGACGGAUAGUCUCCAUCACCUCACUUUCUUCCUAUGAUAAUGCACAUGUGGCUGUGCUGGCACCUACUAGGAUCUCUGUACCCAGACACCUAUCACAAAGAGGUGUUGGGGGAUCCUUAUUUGUGCCUCAGUUUCUUCUUCUUCUUUUGUGAGAUGCAGCCAUGCCAGGAGUUACCCGGGAUGGUGUGUGUGUCAACAUGUACAAAGAGACAAGACCAUGUCCCACAGCAGCUCACAGAAUCAUAGAAUGGUUUGAGUUGGAAGGGACCUUAAAGAUCAUCUAAUUACACAUACCCCCUGCCAUGGGCAGGGACAUCUCCCACUGGAUUAGGCUGCCCAAGGCCCCAUCCAGCCUGGCGUUGAACACGUCCAUGGAUGGGGCACCCACAAACUUCCUCAUGCUGAGGAACCCCUCUUCCACCCUUACCCUGAUGUCCAACCCUGCUCCUUUGGACAAGACACACUGCACCUCUUGCUCACGCACGCAAGGCUUCCUCGCUUUCACCAAAGAGUGCCUGUGCUGGCUAUCGCACACCAUACUCCUGCGUGCAUGUCCAUCAUCUAUUUAUCACCAUAUCUGCCGAGGACAUGACUCAGGUAUGCCAGCAACACAGACACAAGGAAGAGUGACAAAAAGACAUGGCAGGAAAUGGAUUAUUUCAUCAGGAAAGAAACCACUGCAAAGCUACGCAUCUCUCUAUCUGCAGAACAAGAGCAGGGCAGAGGAUCUGACAGCCUGGCCUUGUCAGAUCACAGGCAUGGAAAGGAAGGGAGGAAAAAAGCGUUUCCAGCCUGCAUAUGAUGGCUAACCGCUGGAGAAAGCAUAAGGACAGACAUGCGUCGGGAUGCAGCCAACCAGUAUGGAGCUACAA